UACGUAGGGUGCAAGCGUUAGUCGGAAUUACUGGGCGUAAAGCGCACGCAGGCGGUCUGUCAAGUCGGAUGUGAAAUCCCCGGGCUCAACCUGGGAACUGCAUUCGAAACUGGCAGGCUAGAGUCUUGUAGAGGGGGGUAGAAUUCCAGGUGUAGCGGUGAAAUGCGUAGAGAUCUGGAGGAAUACCGGUGGCGAAGGCGGCCCCCUGGACAAAGACUGACGCUCAUGCACGACAGCGUGGGGAUCAAACAGG
rnacentral:rRNA from 1 species